rnacentral:rRNA from 1 species
UACGUAGGGUGCGAGCGUUAAUCGGAAUUACUGGGCGUAAAGCGUGCGCAGGCGGUUUUGUAAGCCAGAUGUGAAAGCCCCGGGCUUAACCUGGGAAUGGCAUUUGGGACUGCAAGGCUUGAGUGCGGCAGAGGAGACUGGAAUUCCUGGUGUAGCGGUGAAAUGCGCAGAUAUCAGGAGGAACACCGGUGGCGAAGGCGGGUCUCUGGGCCGUAACUGACGCUGAGGAGCGAAAGCAUGGGGAGCGAACAGG